AGACUCUGAGGACCCAGGAGCCUCCAUGGGUACACUCAGAGGCCACACUAGAUGCAAAAAGAACCAUGCACAGAGAAGUGAGAGGGUCUCAAAGGCUGAACCAAAUGCCUCUGCCAGGAGAAUCUUUCAGAGUGUCCUGGAACAUUGGAAAUAGCCUUAAAGCUUAAAUGAUGAAUCAGAAGAGUUAGCUGUAUUCUAGUGCUCCCACUAGGGCCACACAGGGUGCCAACAUCCAAUCUUAAGAUCUUUGGGAAAUAUGCUCACCCUCCAAAAUACUUACAGAUGUGACUCCUCUUUUUUGUAAAAUAAAUGCUCUUCUUAUAUUUGGUGUUUCCUUGGUAUGGCCACAAGAUUAUUUAGUAUGACAUAUUUAAUGGUGAAGAUAAAGGGUCUUUAAUGGCUUCAAAAGUGCCCUGGGCUGAAACUUGAUCUGAGAAAGUUAUUAUCAGAACUGUGUUCCAAGAGAAAGCAGUGUGCUAGCUCUAUGUGUAUACAUGAGUUGCCAUCAACAUGAAUUCAAUUACAACGAAGAUGAUUUGGAGUAGACAAUUGUAUUUUGGUUGCAUGACAUCCAUUUUAU
rnacentral:lncRNA from 1 species